rnacentral:rRNA from 1 species
UUCUGGUUGAUCCCGCCGGACCUGACUGCUAUCGGAUUGAUACUAAGCCAUGCGAGUCAUUGUAGCAAUACAAGGCAUACGGCUCAGUAACGCGUAGUCAACCUAACCUAUGGACGGGAAUAACCUCGGGAAACUGAGAAUAAUGCCCGAUAGAACAUUAUACCUGGAAUGGUUUAUGUUCCAAAUGAUUUAUCGCCGUAGGAUGGGACUGCGGCCUAUCAGUUUGUUGGUGAGGUAAUGGCCCACCAAGACUAUUACAGGUACGGGCUCUGAGAGGAGUAGCCCGGAGAUGGGUACUGAGACACGGACCCAGGCCCUAUGGGGCGCAGCAGGCGAGAAAACUUUGCAAUGUGCGAAAGCACGACAAGGUUAAUCCGAGUGAUUUCUGCUAAAGAAAUCUUUUGUUAGUCCUAGAAACACUAACGAAUAAGGGGUGGGCAAGUUCUGGUGUCAGCCGCCGCGGUAAAACCAGCACCUCAAGUGGUCAGGAUGAUUAUUGGGCCUAAAGCAUCCGUAGCCGGCUCUGUAAGUUUUCGGUUAAAUCUGUACGCUUAACGUACAGGCCGCCGGGAAUACUGCAAAGCUAGGGAGUGGGAGAAGUAGACGGUACUCGGUAGGAAGUGGUAAAAUGCUUUGAUCUAUCGAUGACCACCUGUGGCGAAGGCGGUCUACUAGAACACGUCCGACGGUGAGGGAUGAAAGCUGGGGGAGCAAACCGGAUUAGAUACCCGGGUAGUCCCAGCUGUAAACUAUGCAAACUCAGUGAUGCAUUGGCUUGUGGCCAAUGCAGUGCUGCAGGGAAGCCGUUAAGUUUGCCGCCUGGGAAGUACGUACGCAAGUAUGAAACUUAAAGGAAUUGGCGGGGGAGCACCACAAGGGGUGAAGCCUGCGGUUCAAUUGGAUUCAACGCCGGG